UGUUGAGCGUUUCACCGAUUUGCAAAGACGACUGUGGGGCUGAUUGGAGUGCGCAGGCUGACGCCGUUGCCUUGCUUUCCGCCUUGGCGUCUUAACGUGAAUAGCGAACUCACGCAAAGGCGCAAAGACGCAAAGGAUCGUCAACAAAUGACCGUCCAACAAACACUGGCUGAUCUCGUCGCGAUCGAUUCCGUUUCUGCGCGCUCGAACGCGGAAAUCAUUUCGUAUCUCGAAAAGCGUUGCCAGAAGUUGGGUCUCGCAAGUCAGCGCUUUUC
rnacentral:misc_RNA from 1 species